UACGUAGGGCGCAGGCGUUGUCCGGAAUUAUUGGGCGUAAAGAGCUCGUAGGCGGCUUGUCACGUCGGGUGUGAAAGCCCGGGGCUUAACCCCGGGUCUGCAUUCGAUACGGGCUAGCUAGAGUGUGGUAGGGGAGAUCGGAAUUCCUGGUGUAGCGGUGAAAUGCGCAGAUAUCAGGAGGAACACCGGUGGCGAAGGCGGAUCUCUGGGCCAUUACUGACGCUGAGGAGCGAAAGCGUGGGGAGCGAACAGG
rnacentral:rRNA from 1 species